rnacentral:rRNA from 1 species
UACGUAGGGGGCAAGCGUUUGUCCGGAUUUAUUGGGCGUAAAGAGCUCGUAGGCGGUUUGUCGCGUCUGCUGUGAAAACUGGAGGCUCAACCUCCAGCCUGCAGUGGGUACGGGCAAACUAGAGUGCGGUAGGGGAGAUUGGAAUUCCUGGUGUAGCGGUGGAAUGCGCAGAUAUCAGGAGGAACACCGAUGGCGAAGGCAGAUCUCUGGGCCGGUAACUGACGCUGAGGAGCGAAAGCAUGGGGAGCGAACAGG